rnacentral:rRNA from 1 species
AUGUGUGUACCAAAAAACCAAGGAGGAAUGGGAUUCCGUGAUAUCCACUGUUUCAACCUGGCUUUGCCCACAAAACAGGCAUGGCGUCUUGAAAAUAAUCCUGAUUCCUUGUCUGCUACUAUUCUAAGGGCCAAGUACUAUCCUAAUGGCUAUUUGCCGAAUUCCAAUCCAAAGCAUGGUGCUUCUUUCACCUGACAAAGCAUUAUGGUAGGCAUAACUUCUCUGAAACAUGGCUAUAUUUGGCGAGUGGGGAAUGGAUAUAACAUCAUUAUUUGGGAAGAUGCCUGGGUCCAAAAUUGUGCCACUAGGAAGAUUGUGACCCCUAAGGGGGGACAAUUGUUAUCGAAAGUGGUUGACCUGAUUGACCAUGCCUCCAAUAAUUGGGAUGAGGAUAUGAUUAGACAAACUAUGUGGCCCAUUGACGCACAGCGGAUUCUUUCCAUCCCACUUUCGCAACAUGAUAUGCCAGAUUUCAUUGCCUGGAGUUAUACAAAAAAUGGUAUGUUCUCGGUACGGUUUGCUUACUCUGUGGAGUGGAAUGAUCAGCAUGGGAGUAAACUAAAACAUUCUAAUGGGAUGGGGCGAGCCACACCUAACCCUAUAUGGUCUCAGAUAUGGAAGUUAUCUUGUCUGACAAAGGUCAAAAAAAUUAUAUGGCAUAUGUUACAUGGCACUCUCCCAUGUCGGGUCACACUCGCUAAUAGACACAUGCAGGUCUUGCCCUUUUGCCCUACUUGCUCUCAGGGUUUUGAAGACACGAAACACAUGCUUUUCUGUAGUAAAGCAAAGGAGGUUUGGAAGAGGCUAGGUAUGGAUUAGAUUAUUGAUAAAGCUUUCGAGGUUGAUCGUGUUGGAGAGGCGAUAUUAUUGGAAUACCCUCUACUUCUUCCAAACCAAGAUUUGAGUAUUAUGGGGUACCAAAAUGUAUGA